rnacentral:sRNA from 1 species
CAAGAUUUCGUUAGUUUUCAGUCCUAUCUCCUUGCAUGGACAGGCUAGAUUGCAGUAUAGAAAGAAGUAGCUGCUAGCAAGUGUACACGAACUAAUGAUUCAGAGAAUAAUCGUUAGGUUUAAACAUGUAAUUUGUCAGUGUAGCUUGCAUAUCUCCUGAAAAAUUAGUAUAGAUUGUACAUACGAUUGUACGUAUGUAAAUAAAUCGCUUUUGUUCGCU